rnacentral:rRNA from 1 species
AUUGAACGCUGGCGGUAUGCUUAACACAUGCAAGUCGAACGAGUGGCGGACGGGUGAGUAAUGCAUAGGCAUCUACCUUUUAGUCUAGGAUAACUACCCGAAAGGGUGGCUAAUACUGGAUGCUAAGAGCUGAGCCUAUGUGGGAUUAGCUAGUUGGUGGGGUAAUGGCUCACCAAGGCGACGAUCCACCGCGGAUUUGAGGGGAUGAUCAGCCACACUGGGACUGAGACACGGCCCAGACUCCUACGUGAGGCAGCAGUGGGGAAUAUUGGACAAUGGGCGAAAGCCUGAUCCAGCAAUGCCGCGUGUGUGAAGAAGGUCCUAGGGUUGUAAAGCUCUGUCAGCGGGGAGGCGUUACCUGCAGAAGAAGCACCGGCUAACUCCGUGCCAGCAGCCGCGGUAAUAC